GACGAACGCUGGCGGCGUGCCUAAUACAUGCAAGUUGAGCGCUGAAGGUUGGUACUUGUACCAACUGGAUGAGCAGCGAACGGGUGAGUAACGCGUGGGGAAUCUGCCUUUGAGCGGGGGACAACAUUUGGAAACGAAUGCUAAUACCGCAUAAAAACUUUAAACACAAGUUUUAAGUUUGAAAGAUGCAAUUGCAUCACUCAAAGAUGAUCCCGCGUUGUAUUAGCUAGUUGGUGAGGUAAAGGCUCACCAAGGCGAUGAUACAUAGCCGACCUGAGAGGGUGAUCGGCCACAUUGGGACUGGGACACGGCCCAAACGCCUACGGGAGGCAGCAGUAGGGAAUCUGCGGCAAUGGACGAAAGUCUGACCGAGCAACGCCGCGUGAGUGAAGAAGGUUGUCGGAUCGUAAAACUCUGUUGGUAGAGAAGAGCGUUGGUGAGAGGGGAAAGCUCAUCAAGUGACGGUAACUACACAGAAAGGGACGGCUAACUACGUG
rnacentral:rRNA from 1 species